rnacentral:rRNA from 1 species
AACGUAGGAGACGAACGUUAUCCGGAGUUACUGGGCGUAAAGGGCGUGCAGGCGGUCUGAUAAGUUCGGCGUGAAAUAUUCCGGCUUAACCGGGAUAGGUCGUCGGAGACUGUCGGACUAGAGGGUGAUAGAGGCGUGUGGAAUUCCGGGUGUAGUGGUGAAAUGCGUAGAGAUCCGGAGGAACACCAGUGGCGAAGGCGACACGCUGGGUCACACCUGACGCUGAGGCGCGGAGGCAUGGGGAGCGAACGGG